rnacentral:rRNA from 1 species
CAGUAGCCACGGUAAUACGAAGGGGGCUAGCGUUGCUCGGAAUUACUGGGCGUAAAGGGAGCGUAGGCGGAUCGUUUAGUCAGGGGUGAAAUCCCGGGGCUCAACCUCGGAACUGCCUUUGAUACUGGCGAUCUUGAGUAUGGGAGAGGUGUGUGGAACUCCGAGUGUAGAGGUGAAAUUCGUAGAUAUUCGGAAGAACACCAGUGGCGAAGGCGACACACUGGCCCAUUACUGACGCUGAGGCUCGAAAGCGUGGGGAGCAAACAGGAUUAGAUACCCCAGUAGUCCCUGUCUCUUAUAC